rnacentral:rRNA from 1 species
GACGAACGCUGGCGGCGUGCUUAACACAUGCAAGUCGAACGAUGAAGCCGGAGCUUGCCCUGGUGAAUUAGUGGCGAACGGGUGAGUAACACGUGAGUAACCUGCCCUUGACUCUGGGAUAACUGCUAGAAAUGGUAGCUAAUACCGGAUACGACCCUCGGAGGCAUCUUCCGGGGGUGGAAAGAAUUUCGGUCAAGGAUGACUCGCGGCCUAUCAGCUAGUUGGUGAGGUAAUGGCUCACCAAGGCGACGACGGGUAGCCGGCCUGAGAGGGUGACCGGCCACACUGGGACUGAGACACGGCCCAGACUCCUACGGGAGGCAGCAGUGGGGAAUAUUGCACAAUGGGCGCAAGCCUGAUGCAGCAACGCCGCGUGAGGGAUGACGGCCUUCGGGUUGUAAACCUCUUUUAGUAGGGAAGAAGCGAAAGUGACGGUACCUGCAGAAAAAGCACCGGCUAACUACGUGCCAGCAGCCGCAGUAA